UACGAAGGGGGCUAGCGUUGCUCGGAAUCACUGGGCGUAAAGCGCACGUAGGCGGAUUGUUAAGUCAGGGGUGAAAUCCUGGAGCUCAACUCCAGAACUGCCUUUGAUACUGACGGUAUCGCAGUCCGGGAGAGGUGAGUGGAACUGCGAGUGUAGAGGUGAAAUUCGUAGAUAUUCGCAAGAACACCAGUGGCGAAGGCGGCUCACUGGCCCGGUACUGACGCUGAGGUGCGAAAGCGUGGGGAGCAAACAGGG
rnacentral:rRNA from 1 species